GGGACAUGACCGUCAGAUUCUGAUAUCUGUGGAAGAAUAAUAAGCUUCGGAAGCCCUAAUUGCAAAAUUGCUCUCUCUGUGUCUUAGUUUGAAGCUUCAAGGGAUUUGCUGGUGGAGAGGAGGAUAGGGAUCUCUCUGCCUUCAAAGCUCCUGUCCAUUUAGAAAGAAUUUUGUCUUGUCCUCUGUUCUGCUGCGUUCUUUGCUGUUCGAGCGUCAUGGCUUCAAAGCGGAUUUUGAAGGAACUCAAGGAUUUGCAGAAAGAUCCACCAACUUCUUGCAGUGCUGGUCCUGUAGCUGAAGACAUGUUUCAUUGGCAAGCAACAAUCAUGGGCCCUUCGAUAGCCCUUAUGCUGGAGGUGUAUUUUUAGUUACGAUUCAUUUUCCUCCGGACUACCUUUCAAGCCUCCUAAGGUUGCAUUUAGGACCAAGGUCUUCCAUCCAAACAUCAACAGCAACGGGAGCAUUUGUCUUGAUAUCCUAAAAGAACAAUGGAGCCCUGCACUAACCAUUUCCAAGGUUCUGCUCUCAAUCUGUUCAUUGCUGACUGAUCCAAACCCCGACGACCCACUUGUUCCAGAGAUUUCUCACAUGUACAAGACUGAUCGGUCCAAGUAUGAAGCGACUGCACGCAGCUGGACCCAGAAGUACGCUAUGGGAUGACAGUGAUCAUUGUGUAAUACCUAUUGGCUUUUGUAUGUUGUCAAAUGUGUCAAACAAAGUGAUGUUUUCUUAUGGGAAGGGAGGUGGUGUUUUCCUAAAGGAACUUGUCAUUUUGUUCAUGCUUUGAGUGGGAGGAUAUGGACAUUCUUUUAUACUUUGCACGCAUUGUAACUGGUGUGAAACCUUUGUUUUGAUCAAUGUUGAAGUGGCUGUCAAAACCCUUGUUUCGUUCAAUGUUGAAGUGCUUCAGAUCUACA